rnacentral:rRNA from 1 species
AACGAACGCUGGCGGCAGGCUUAACACAUGCAAGUCGAGCGCCCCGCAAGGGGAGCGGCAGACGGGUGAGUAACGCGUGGGAAUCUACCCAUCUCUACGGAAUAACGCAUGGAAACGUGUGCUAAUACCGUAUACGUCCUUCGGGAGAAAGAUUUAUCGGAGAUGGAUGAGCCCGCGUUGGAUUAGCUAGUUGGUGGGGUAAAGGCCUACCAAAGCGACGAUCCAUAGCUGGUCUGAGAGGAUGAGCAGCCACACUGGGACUGAGACACGGCCCAGACUCCUACGGGAGGCAGCAGUGGGGAAUAUUGGACAAUGGGCGCAAGGCUGAUCCAGCCAUGCCGCGUGAGUGAGGAAGGCCCUAGGGUUGUAAAGCUCUUUCACCGGUGAAGAUAAUGACGGUAACCGGAGAAGAAGCCCCGGCUAACUUCGUGCCAGCCGCCGCUGUAAGAC